AGUGAACGCUGGCGGUAGGCCUAACACAUGCAAGUCGAACGGCAGCACAGGAGAGCUUGCUCUCUGGGUGGCGAGUGGCGGACGGGUGAGGAAUACAUCGGAAUCUACUUUUUCGUGGGGGAUAACGUAGGGAAACUUACGCUAAUACCGCAUACGACCUACGGGUGAAAGCACGGGAUCUUCGGACCUUGCGCGAUUGAAUGAGCCGAUGUCGGAUUAGCUAGUUGGCGGGGUAAAGGCACACCAAGGCGACGAUCCGUAGCUGGUCUGAGGGGAUGAUCAGCCACACUGGAACUGAGACACGGUCCAGACUCCUACGGGAGGCAGCAGUGGGGAAUAUUGGACAAUGGGCGCAAGCCUGAUCCAGCCAUACCGCGUGGGUGAAGAAUGCCUUCGGGUUGUAAAGCCCUUUUGUUGGGAAAGAAAUCCAGCUGGUUAAUACCCGGUUGGGAUGACGGUACCCAAAGAAUAAGCACCGGCUAACUUCGUGCCAGCCGCCGCCGUAA
rnacentral:rRNA from 1 species